UACGUAGGGUGCAAGCGUUAAUCGGAUUUACUGGGCGUAAAGGGUGCGAAGGCGGUUUUGUAAGUCUGAUGUGAAAUCCCCGGGCUCAACCUGGGAAUUGCAUUGGAGACUGCAAGGCUAGAAUCUGGCAGAGGGGGGUAGAAUUCCACGUGUAGCAGUGAAAUGCGUAGAGAUGUGGAGGAACACCGAUGGCGAAGGCAGCCCCCUGGGUCAAGAUUGACGCUCAUGCACGAAAGCGUGGGGAGCAAACAGG
rnacentral:rRNA from 1 species